UUGAUCCCGCCGGAGGUCACUGCUAUCGGUGUCCGAUUAAGCCAUGCGAGUCGUGAGGGGUUAUGCCCUCGGCGGACUGCUCAGUAACACGUGGACAAUCUGCCCAAAGGUCUGGGAUAACCCCGGGAAACUGGGGAUAAUACCGGAUAGAUCAAAACAUCUGGAAUCGAGUUUUGGUUUAAAGGUCUUUCGCCUUUGGAUGGGUCUGCGGCGGAUUAGGUUGACGCCGGUGUAACGUACCGGCGUGCCUGUAAUCCGUACGGGUUGUGGGAGCAAGAGCCCGGAGAUGGAUUCUGAGACACGAAUCCAGGCCCUACGGGGCGCAGCAGGCGCGAAAACUCUACAAUGCAGGAGACUGCGAUAGGGGGACAUCGAGUGGCAUCCACCUUGGGUGCCUGUCCAACCGUCUAAAAAACGGUUGUUAGCAAGGGCCGGGUAAGACCGGUGCCAGCCGCCGCGGUAAUACCGGCGGCUCGAGUGGUGGCCGAUAUUAUUGAGUCUAAAGGGUCCGUAGCCGGCUUUGCAAGUCCCCCGGGAAAUCCAGCGGCUUAACCGUUGGGCUUUCGUGGGAUACUACAUUGCUUGGGACUGGGAGAGGUAGGAGGUACUCGGGGGGUAGGGGUGAAAUCCUGUAAUCCUCCGGGGACCACCGGUGGCGAAGGCGUCCUACCAGAACAGGUCCGACGGUGAGGGAUGAAAGCUGGGGGAGCAAACCGGAUUAGAUACCCGGGUAGUCCCAGCCGUAAACUAUGC
rnacentral:rRNA from 1 species